rnacentral:rRNA from 1 species
UGGGGAAUAUUGGACAAUGGGCGCAAGCCUGAUCCAGCCAUGCCGCGUGAGUGACGAAGGUCUUCGGAUUGUAAAACUCUUUUGGCGGGGACGAUAAUGACGGUACCCGCAGAAUAAGCCCCGGCUAACUUCGUGCCAGCAGCCGCGGUAAUACGAAGGGGGCUAGCGUUGUUCGGAAUCACUGGGCGUAAAGCGCACGUAGGCGGAUGUGCCAGUCAGGGGUGAAAUCCCGGAGCUCAACUCCGGAACUGCCUCUGAUACUGCACGUCUUGAGUUCGAGAGAGGUGGGUGGAAUUCCUAGUGUAGAGGUGAAAUUCGUAGAUAUUAGGAAGAACACCGGUGGCGAAGGCGGCCCGCUGGCUCGAUACUGACGCUGAGGUGCGAAAGCGUGGGGAGCAAACAGGAUUAGAUACCCCCGUAGUCCCUGAGCGGGCUGGCAAGGCGCAU